rnacentral:rRNA from 1 species
GAUGAACGCUGGCGGCGUGCCUAAUACCUGCAAGUCGAGCGAACAGAUGAGGAGCUUGCUCCUCUGACGUUAGCGGCGGACGGGUGAGUAACACGUUGAUAACCUACCGAUAUGACUUGUAUAACUUCGAGAAACCGGAGCUAAUACCGGAUAAUAUAUUGAUCCGCAUGGUUCAAUAGUGAAAGACGGUUUUGCUGUCACUUAUAGAUGGAUCCGCGCCGCAUUAGAUAGGUGGAAAGGUAACGGCUUACCAAGGCAACGAUGCUUAGCCGACCUGAGAGGGUGUUCGCCCAGACUGGAAUUGAGACAAGGCUCAGACUCCUACGGGAGGCAGCAGUAGGGAAGCUUCCGCGAUGGGCGAAAGCCUGACGGAGCAACGGCGCGUGAGUGAUGAAGGUCUUCGGAUCGUAAAACUCUGUUAUUAGGGAAGAACAAAUGUGUAAGUAACUACGCCCGUAUUGACGGUACCUAAUCAGAAAGCCACGGCUAACUACGUG